GGCUGCACACAGGACACAGAAAACACAGGCGAGCAGCACCCGCGCGCGGCAGCAGAGUGGUUUCCAUGCCCACCCGCAGGGGCACCAGCGCCCCCUCUCUCCCUCGCUGACCCGACUUACAAAAAAGAAGGCGGCUGGGACAGGGGACAGCUGGCCUCCGCCCCCAGCCCUCCUCUGCACCUAAGGGCUGCAGACUCAGCAGGCGGGCGCUGGCAUGCACCCUCCCAUUUCUAUCCAGUCUGCCCCAGACUGGAAGCUGAGCCCCGGGAGGCAGCAAAAGACACCGGGAGAGGGGCUGGAGAAGGCCAAAACAAGAGCAGGGGAAUCACAGUCAAGGUUGCGGAGCCACAAAAGACAGCAUGCAGACCGCGGACCUGCCACACGGAGAAGCCCUGUGGAUGGCAGGAGGCCAGGGAAGGAUGUGGAGAGGGGCCUGGAGGGAGGGGCGGCAGCACCCACGAACCGAAGAGCGGGAACUUGUGCGUGCAACUGGUCCCCCGGAACGUUGGACUUCACCAUCAGAGGGUACCACCAAGGACUUUGAGGUAGGGGGUGCGGCGAAAGGACAGGACACAAAGGCUAAACACAGCUACGCAGAAAACAGAAAGAAACCUUUCUGAGAACCAACCAGGAAGCUUAAAAACAAUCGAAACCCUGGAGCGACUUUGCAAUGAAAAAGCUGAAGAGGCAAAGAAAGACAAAUCCAGAUCGGAGAGUGAGGGAAGGGAAGAGUUAGAAGCCAAGGAAAGCAAACUGCACCAGGAACUAAAAGGAAAAAUUAAAUCAAUAAAGGAAAUUUUC
rnacentral:lncRNA from 1 species